GGUGGGGUGGCUGAAUGGUUCAGGCGGUGGGCUGCAGACUCACUCUAUAAGGGUUCAAUUCCCUUCCCCACCUCCA
rnacentral:tRNA from 1 species